GACGAACGCUGGCGGCGUGCCUAAUACAUGCAAGUUGAGCGAUGAAGAUUGGUGCUUGCACCAAUUUGAAGAGCAGCGCACGGGUGAGUAACGCGUGGGGAAUCUGCCUUUGAGCGGGGGACAACAUUUGGAAACGAAUGCUAAUACCGCAUAAUAACUUUAAACAUAAGUUUUAAGUUUGAAAGAUGCAAUUGCAUCAUUCAAAGAUGAUCCCGCGUUGUAUUAGUUAGUUGGUGAGGUAAAGGCUCACCAAGGCGAUGAUACAUAGCCGACCUGAGAGGGUGAGUGGCCACAGUGGGACGGAGACACGGCCCAAACGCCUACGGGAGGCAGCAGUAGGGAAUCUUCGGCAAUGGGCGAAAGUCUGACCGAGCAACGCCGCGGGAGUGAAGAAGGUUUUCGGAUCGUAAAUCUCGGUUGGUAGAGAAGAACGUUGGUGAGAGUGGAAAGAUCAUCAAGUGACGGUAACUACCCAGAAAGGGACGGCUAACUACGUG
rnacentral:rRNA from 1 species